UGAAGAUACUCCUGUGUAUAAUGAGGAAAUCUUGUCAGUGAAUGUUGUUGCAAUUGUGGACCAGGCCAGAGUUGUACUAAACCAACUAAGACACAAUGAGAUACAGGAAUGACACAAUGAGAAACAGGAAACAGGAAAGUGAUGACUGAUCGCCACCUGUUACAAAUUCAUCUAGAAAACUCCCCACAUCCAACAAGAGACAGUCUGACUUCAAAAUCUUCAUUGAAGGCAACUUAAUGGACAAGACAUCCGUCACAUAAAGAUUCACUAAAAUU